AACGCAAAUAUUCACAGCCAUCCACGACGUCAAAGCAUUCUUUCGAGGUUGAAUCCAUAUUUGUGGCAUUCUUGACCCAUGACCAAUACGGAUAUUGUUGUAAAAUUUCUCUUUUGCUUACUUUUCGGAGUUGUGGAAGAGAAUUUUCUGCGGUGGACUGGAGAAUAAAAUCACAACCAUUGAUCUUGGGUGCAGCACUCCAUCUGUUGGAUGAACUUUUAUGUUCCAUCUCUAAGGAAUUGCCUUCGUGCGUCCGUAUGGGGAGUGGUGCAAUGAUCAGCGGUACAUUU
rnacentral:snoRNA from 1 species